AUCUGUUCUUAAAAAAAAAUCUGUUCUUAUCAGUUUAAUAUCUGAUACGUCCCCUACCCGGGGACCAUAUAUUAAAUUGAUUUUUGGAGCAGGGAGAUGGAAUAGGGGCUUGCUCCGUCCACUCCACGCAUCGACCCAGUAUUGCAGUACUUCUGGGAACGGUGCACCCCCU
rnacentral:snRNA from 1 species